CAAGAAUAAUGCAGGAAAUUCUGCUUUGUAUAAAAUUAAAAAGAUGGUCCCUAAUUUAAUUUUCUAACCGAUUCCAGACAAAUCUUAACAAGCUUUAUCCAAUCAAAAAAAAAAAAAAAAAAAAAUCUUAAAAGAUGAAAGAAGGCUCAGAUCUGUUGUUCGAUCGACGGAGAGGUUCGCCCCCGCCAUGGCUGCAAAAUUACCGGUUGCAUAUGAAUGGAAAAUCCAAUUUCACAUACCAUCCGGAUUGCCACGCCAAGAUACGGGUCGAUUUAUCUCAAUAGCCGAUCACUGUGCUUGGAAGAAUUAUGAAAUAUCGUCACAGCCUUGGGGAUUGAUUGAAAUAGUAAAACUACUACACCACCAUCAUCACCACCACCACCACCUUCACAAAAUCACAGUACCGUAAGGCCUGUUUGGCUAAGCUUAUAAUCUUCUUGGAUCUUGACAACAUUGAGCUGUUGAAAAGAAAUCAAGAACCAGCAAUGGAUUUGUUUCGUUUUAUUUUUUUUUUUUUUUUCUAUGAAGGGCUGUUGAUUUUCAUUUUUAAAAAUGGAGAAAAAUCAUCGGCUAUACAGAGAGGGGCAACCACCCUUAAAGAAUUCCCAUUCUCUCUGCGUGCCUCAUUCAUCCCUCCCAAGCUGCCAACUAACCCUAGUUUUUGCUCUCUCUCUUCUUUUAUACUAGCCCAACAUUCCAAUUUAACCCUUAUUUGAGGGCCAUUUUACCUAUUUUGACUACGUUUGGGACCUCUUGCAAAAGGGUAUUCUGGUAAUAUA
rnacentral:lncRNA from 1 species